UAUAAAGUUAAAUAUGAUAUUAAAAACUUAAUAUGUAUAUAUACUAUACGAGUAUUUUGUAUUAUUUUAACGAAAAGUAAAGUUUCAACUGACAAUCGAAAAGCGUGUAUAAAUUUCAUACUAAAUCUGUGGUCAAUCCCACACUUUUCGAUUUACUAUUAGCGGGUAAUGUUUCCCAAAAAUAUUUUAAGCUCAAUAACGGUUAUCGUAUUUUAUGCAAUGAAAAGAGAGGAGAGUUUGAAGAUUGGGCAGAUGAAAUGGCAAGAAAGGGUUUGUUUCAAGCUGUCCCCAAGGAAAUUUUAAAGGAUAAUGUACCAGGAAAAUAAUUUAUUUAAUUUGGUUAAACUAUAAAAUAAAUGUAUUGUUUUAAAUUGUUUCUUUUUAACAAUGAAAGUUGGAUUGAAUCACAAA